rnacentral:rRNA from 1 species
AGUCGAGGGGUAUAGGUUUUCGGACCUAGAGACCGGCGCACGGGUGCGUAACGCGUAUGCAAUCUACCUUUUACAGAGGGAUAGCCCAGAGAAAUUUGGAUUAAUACCUCAUAGUAUUAUUGAAUGGCAUCGUUUAAUAAUUAAAGUCACAACGGUAAAAGAUGAGCAUGCGUCCCAUUAGCUUGUUGGUAAGGUAACGGCUUACCAAGGCAACGAUGGGUAGGGGUCCUGAGAGGGAGAUCCCCCACACUGGUACUGAGACACGGACCAGACUCCUACGGGAGGCAGCAGUGAGGAAUAUUGGUCAAUGGGCGCAAGCCUGAACCAGCCAUGCCGCGUGCAGGAUGAAGCAUCUAUGGUGUGUAAACUGCUUUUGUACGAGAAGAAACACUCCUACGUGUAGGAGCUUGACGGUAUCGUAAGAAUAAGGACCGGCUAACUCCGUGCCAGCAGCCGCGGUAAUACGGAGGGUCCAAGCGUUAUCCGGAAUCAUUGGGUUUAAAGGGUCCGUAGGCGGUUUUGUAAGUCAGUGGUGAAAGCCCAUCGCUCAACGGUGGAACGGCCAUUGAUACUGCAAGACUUGAAUUAUUGGGAAGCAACUAGAAUAUGUAGUGUAGCGGUGAAAUGCUUAGAGAUUACAUGGAAUACCAAUUGCGAAGGCAGGUUGCUACCAAUAUAUUGACGCUGAUGGACGAAAGCGUGGGGAGCGAACAGGAUUAGAUACCCUGGUAGUCCACGCCGU